GCCGGUGUGGCUCAGUGGGUAGAGCGUCGGCCUGCGGAUGAAAAGGUCCCGGGUUCAAUUCCUGGUCAAGGGCA
rnacentral:tRNA from 1 species